rnacentral:rRNA from 1 species
UCAAGGCGACGACCGGUAGCCGGCCUGAGAGGGAGACCGGCCACACUGGGACUGAGAAACGGACCAGAACUCCUACGAGAGCCAGCAGUGGGGAAUAUUGCACAAUCGCCGAAAGCCUGAUGCAGCGACGCCGCGCUGGAAGGGAUGACGGCCUUCCGGUUUGUAAACCUCUUUCAACAAGGAAGAAGCGAAAGUGACGGUACCUGCAGAAAGAAGCGCCGGCUAACUACGUGCCAGCAGCCGCGGUAAUACGUAGGGCGCGAGCGUUGUCCGGAAAUUAUUGGGCGUAAAGAGCUCGUAGGCGGCUUGUCGCGUCGGUUGUGAAAGCCCGGGGCUUAACCCCGGGUCUGCAGUCGAUACGGGCAGGGCUAGAGUUCGGUAGG